GCCUGGCCAGCCCGAGAGACAGCGGAGAUUCAUUACCCGCCGACACAAUGACCAUUGAUGGCCCCGUGGCGUUAUUCAAAUCCAGUACCAAUUGCAGCCGAGCCCCUUUCUCCGCGCCAGGCCCGUAUUGUUGGAGCGGCCCACUAAAAGCCCGCCCCGGCCCCGAGCCGCCAGAGGCGCCCGCUCGGGUUCAGCCUUGCGCCUCGGCAGCCCGCCGGCUCCCAGUCCGGCUCCACGGGCGCUGCAGGUGACCCGGCGGCGCAUUCCAGCACUCCCCGCCGCCCGGGCCACCGCCGCCACCGCCACCGCCACCGCAGGCGCCCCGGCCGCGACUCAGCCACAGGAAAGCGGAGAGCGCCCGAGCCGUCCCGGCCGGCAGGGUCCUCCAGUCGAUCGCGUCGUUUUUCCUCCUUUCAAAUUUCGGCCGGAACGAAGCCGGCACGCAGCGGCGGGGCCGAAUGUGGUCCGCCCUCAGCCCAAGCCGCAUGAAGUCGGGGGUGAAAGAAGAGGCCGGCCGAAUGCGCCCGCUAACUCGUUUCGCAGUUGUUCUAACUUAUCACCCCAAUACUCCCUACCUAAACAAAACAAAUCCUCAACCAACCCCUAAAUCCCAAACAAACCAACCCCUCCCGCAAGCCCCUCCGGACGGACCGAUGGGCUGAGCCUCCUCCAGCCGCUGCCAGGGUCCGACGGGCAAGCGUCGCCAACGAUGCGCUCCAGCCCGGCAAUCUCCUCGGCUUUGGAAAUAGAAUUUGGAAAAACGAAUCCUUUUCAUUAAAGAAAAAUCUUCG